AAAGUCGUAACAAGGUCUCCGUAGGUGAACCUGCGGAGGGAUCAUUAACACGUAUCCACGUAAACACCCGUGAAUUGUAUGUUCCACACUUGGAUCCAAACAACGUUAGCAGACUUCGGCGACGCGAUUCUUCGGAAUUGCGUGCCUGCUAACCAGCUUCUUCGGAAGAACGGAUUCCGGUGUGUAGACGCCGUGUGUCGUACCAACUUUUUAACUCAUUGUAAACUAUUCUGUCUAAAUUUCUUGAACAGGCUAACGCCUGCUCUGAAUCAUAAAACUAAAGCACAACUCUUAGCAACGGAUAUCUUGGUUCUC
rnacentral:misc_RNA from 1 species